rnacentral:sRNA from 1 species
GUUUUCCAUUUUCUACAAAUUAAAAAAAGAAAAAAAACCGAAAUAGUGAAAAAUUCGGGGUUGGCCUUGGCUAAACUGACCCACCCACAAUUUAUCCAAAAAAUUUAUCCACCUAACCCCAGAUCACUGCAAACGAAAUGUAUAUCACUAUUCACGCGUGGUUCCAAUUAUGGCGGCUAGAUGACGAAGGCUUGAUCAGCUACUGCUGUAAAAUAAUGAAACUAAAAGCGCCGUAUUGUUGAUAAUCUACCCAUGGCAUGUACAGGGAACAGUGUGCUUGUGAGAGGGACAAUCCAAAGCAGUAGGUUUUUGUUUAUGAUUGGUUUAUAACAGAAUUUUGGGGAAAAAGGGGGACACCAUAAGUGCAUGUUUCAAAACUAUUAAUAUGUUGUAGCCUUCUUUCUUCAAACAUUGCACUCUGUUGUUGCUUUUCCUUAAGAAAUCUUUUCUCCAAAUAACACCUUGAUUCUUUUUUAUCGGUCUCCUUAUAUAUAUAUAUAUAUACCAAUACUCGGGGUGUCUUUUUUAGCCGCCGAUGUGAGGAUCGAAAAUCAUUAUCUCGAAAGGGUAAAGGUUGUUAAGAUAGUAUAUACAUAUACAUAUACAUAUAUAUAUAUACAUAUAUAUAUAUAUUGAAUUACAUACUUCAAUAAGGAAUGGUAUAAGAUUUUUCGUACGGUAAUA